GACUUGAAAAGCUUUAUGGUGGGAAGGCCUAUGUCGGCCUUCGGAUACCCGAUGCUGACACCGGCACUCGACAAAACAUCGAUCUGGUUCUCCUCACCAAAGGGUAUAUAGCUAUGAACUUCAACUGCACAGUUCCUAACAUAUAUCAAUAUGUCUUUGUAUAUAUGUAAGCAGAGGACUGCAACUUCGAACACAAUGGCAUGGAUUCAGGGUUUUUUUUUGUUAUAAUUGUAUUACUGUAGUUAUUGAAAUUGCAAACAUUAUACUUGUUUUUGUUUUGCUAAUAUAUGCUCCAAACACAAGCAUUAAAAACAGAUUGCUAAUUGUGUCAUAUUGGACUCUUUAUUAUUAACAGAGGAGAUUAGAAAGACAAUCAUUUAUGUGUA